rnacentral:rRNA from 1 species
AGAGUUUGAUCAUGGCUCAGNNNGAACGCUGGCGGCAUGCCUAACACAUGCAAGUCGAACGGUAACAGGCCCGCAAGGGUGCUGACGAGUGGCGGACGGGUGAGGAAUACAUCGGAAUCUGCCCGGUUGUGGGGGAUAACGUAGGGAAACUUACGCUAAUACCGCAUACGACCGAAAGGUGAAAGCGUGGGAUCCGCAAGGACCUCGCGCAGCCGGAUGAGCCGAUGUCGGAUUAGCUAGUUGGCGGGGUAAAGGCCCACCAAGGCGACGAUCCGUAGCUGGUCUGAGAGGAUGAUCAGCCACACUGGGACUGAGACACGGCCCAGACUCCUACGGGAGGCAGCAGUGGGGAAUAUUGGACAAUGGGGGCAACCCUGAUCCAGCAAUGCCGCGUGUGUGAAGAAGGCCUUCGGGUUGUAAAGCACUUUUAUCCGGAACGAAACGCGCAGGGUGAAUAGCCUUUGCGAACUGACGGUACCGGAGGAAUAAGCACCGGCUAACUUCGUGCCAGCAGCCGCGGUAAUACGAAGGGUGCAAGCGUUACUCGGAAUUACUGGGCGUAAAGCGUGCGUAGGUGGUUUGUUAAGUCUGCUGUGAAAGCCCCGGGCUCAACCUGGGAAUGGCAGUGGAUACUGGCAAGCUAGAGUGCGGUAGAGGGUAGUGGAAUUCCCGGUGUAGCGGUGAAAUGCGUAGAGAUCGGGAGGAACACCAGUGGCGAAGGCGGCUACCUGGACCAGCACUGACACUGAGGCACGAAAGCGUGGGGAGCAAACAGGAUUAGAUACCCUAGUAGUCC